UCCCUAAUUUUAGUUUUAUCGGAAAUAACGAGGAGAUACAGAGAGGCGAUUUCGGACUCCAUCUUCUCCAGGCAAUUUCGGACUCGAUCCAAGCAUCCAUCAACACUUUCUCUAAAUCUGAAAAUCGUUAAUUGGAAGGCUUAAUUUCGGACUCCAGGCUCAACAACAGAGGCGGUGUACUAAUUAAUCCUUUAGAGUUUCUCCAAUCGGCGGUUGUGACUUCAGCUGGGCUUUACUAUUGGAGUGCUUCAGCUGGGCUUUACUAUUGGAGUGCUAAAUUAUCUGGAACUUACUUCGGCCCGUUUGCUUCUUGGAUUACUGGGACUAGGGGAAUCCUUGCUGAUAUUUGUUGAUACCUGCUGCAAUUCAGCCAUUGUCUGAUGACUCUACCACUCUUCUUUUUAGCUGAUUCAUUCAUCUCUUUUUGGCAUAUCAUUUCUGCCAUCUUGGAAAAUUCCAUUUGGCAUUUUGAUUUAAAAUAUUAUCAUGUUGUUCUCACAAAUAAUAUUGACAUACCUUGCACUUACUAUAAGGUUACUGCAGCCCAUGUAUUUUCAUUAAUUGCUUUGAACUCUUCUUCUCUGCCUUGUUUUCCUCUAUGUUCUUGGUCGUCUCCUUGUUUCACACUUACUGAUUUACUCACUGAAAGUGACAAUCAGUAGAGAGAUGGAAUAAGGGUAUAAAUAAAAGUGAGAACAGUUGUAAAUAUAAUGUGAUUUAUAAGCAGAAACUUUACAACCCCUAAUCAAACCACCCUAUUACCUCUCUACUGGUAACACAGGGAAAUGUUAUCUAUCCAAAUUUUUUUUUACAGAUAGAAAAGAAAAUAAUGGUUGACCAUGACUUGAAGAAAAAUGGGAUUCUUGUAGUAUAGCACUUCAAUACUACAAGGAGAUAUUAUUAGAUGCCCGCAUGCAUGAGAAAGGGGAUUACAUGCCUUAUUCACUGUCGUGAAAUGCAUUAGAUAUUAGAUAUGAUUUGCCUGUUAAUUCUGUAUUAAUCUGUUUGACUCUAAUUAGCAGCCUGCAUAUGUAGAGUGACAGACUGAUUGAGCCUUUCAGGACUAUUUGACCCUUUUUGUGUAUAUGUUUCUGUAUUACUGGAGCAAAUUAUAAUUGCAGUAGAUAUGUUUCUGACACUUGGAUAUCAAUUUUACUGCAUUGCACUACUACCAGUAGAAGACACUCCAAACGGGUCAAAAGAAUUAACAGGGAUUCUCUAAGGUGUCAUUGCAGAAUUUGCCAAUUCUUGUUUAAACUUGAGCUCAGGUGUGCUUUUACCAAUCAGUGCCAACUUUAUCUCAUGGCUGGUUUUUGUUUAUUGUUUUGCUCUUCUUUUAUUUAGAUCUCUGGAUAUUUUGUUUAAUUAAGUUAUACUUCAGUUAGGACCUAUAAUAAGAACUUAAUGAAUCAAUGCCUUAUAAUUAAGUCUUUUCAGAUUGGAGAUUUAAUUUAAUUUUUUUGAUACAGUAUAUAAAUAUACAUAAUGUCAUGCGAGAAUUAUAUGAUUCCUACAUGUCUGUCAUGUUAGCUUAAAUAAAAAUCAUGUAUUGAGUUUUAUUGGUAUAUUAUGCUAGUACACUUAUCUAUAUUCCCAAUUGUUGGCUUAAUGUAACGUGUUUACCUUGUCAAAUCAGAGAAAAUAUCUUUCACCUACUAGGCCUGCUCUUAACUAUGCUGAAGCAUUUAUUAAAAGUGUCUGUGAAUUGUCUUUAUGAUAGCAAUACCCAUUCUUAUGCAAUUUGAUUCUAUUAGAUCCUUUGUUCCAUGGAUAAGAAAAUGGUAGCAGAUUAUUUAACUGGUUUUAUAGCAAUUAAUUAGUUGAUCUUGUAUUUUCCACGUCAGGAUUACUAUAGAAAGUCUCAUGUCUUUAACCUGAUAGACAAUGGUUUAAGUUUCUCUCUUUCAACUGCUUUGUGUUCUUUCACUGGAAUCUUUGCAUUUGAAUUGGGUUAGCAGAUUCAUAGAUGUGUUAUUCCAAAAGCUCAUGAUUGGGUUAGCAGAUUCAUAUACAUUUUUAGAGGUAAAGGCAGUUGGUGCGCCCACACCUGACUUCUCCUCGCAUGUCCACCUCUAGCCAAAUGUAUGCUUUUUCUGCUCAUGGUUGUUUUUACUGCUUUUUCUGUAGAAAUUUAUGGAAGAUGAAUUGUUACUUGGAGAGAAAUUUCAAAGAAGAGUCCUUGUUAUUUUGGCUUUCACACCCUAAUCUGCCAAAAAAAAAAUCUUUUGAUCGUAAUAUAGAGCGGCUAUUGUCCAAACUUAAGGUGAAAUGGAUAGUCAUAAGUGUGCGAAAUAAGGCGUUACCUCUGUUUUGGAGUCUACUGUUUUCUUCAAAUGGAAAUGCAUUUUAAUCCAACUUAAUAUAUCAUCUGUAAAGGCUUCAAGUCAAAUUUUCUCUUGUUAACAUUAAAUGUUUCCUUUUCUUUGUUUGCUCCACGUUGUUUUGACACAAAAGUAACUUGUUCCAGGUACACGUGAGACUUGACUAAAUUGUGCAAGCCAAAAUGUUCUGUUUCUAGUGUAAAUGCAGUGUGUUCAGGAGAUGAGAUUGCAGGAAGCCCGUACUUAAUGGACUCUAUUCCCAGCAGCAGUGAUAAGAAAACUUUGAAGAGGUGGUUUUUCAUUGACAAAAGGGUCGGUUAAAAGAUUCGGUACUCUUAUACAUCCAAUAGUAAGAAGUCCCAACUGCAUAGCUGUCAAUCACAAAGUCAAUAUCAGCCAAAUCCAUAUUGUUUCAAUGGACUUGAAUUCGACAAACGCCUCUCCAGUUCUAACGGAUCCUUCGCCAUUGAACAAGUCUAGAUUGGGGAUCCAUUCUAGUUUGUUGCCUUACUCACAAUCUGGGCCCUCAUUCUCCACUAGCGUGCUAACAAUUCCUAGAAAGAAGCCAGCGAAGCUUGAUGAUGUUCGAUCCAACGGUUAGCUCGACGCAAUGAUGUCUUCUUCACCUCAUAGGAAGAAGAUUCUGAAGGAAGUAAACAUUGGUGUUUCUUCCGAUGAUGCUGAUGUUACUUACCUCUCUUGGGAGAUCAAGUAUCCAUCAGCUCUCAACUCCUUUCAGCAAAUUAUGAGGCAAGCAAGGAAUAAACAGAUAGUCAUCUUCUUAGAUUAUGAUGGGACUCUUUCUCCUAUUGUUGAUGACCCUGACCGUGCUUUUAUAUCCAAUGAGAUGCGCUCUGCUGUCAGGAAUGUUGCAAAGUAUUUCCCAACAGCCAUCAUCAGUGGAAGAAGACGUGACAAGG